GGAGAAAUUGUAUUAUGACUUUUUCAAGGUACUUAUUUUCAUAUAGCUCAUUUAUUUAUGCAUCCAUAUAUUAAGUAUGCUUGAUGACGAAGGGCAUGUACUUUGAGGUCAGUGGAGAGUCAGGGGUUAAAUGGAGGUCUUUGGUGAAUUAUACUCUCUGGUAAGGUAAUUAGCAAGUAUUUAUUGUUGUGGGAGGCAACGUGGGCAUGGUGGAGAGAAGGUGCAGUUUGGACACAAAUCUGGCUCAGACCUCUGCUUUGCUAUUUAAUAAUUGUGUCUGAACCUGUUACUUUCCUGGGAUGAACCUUAGCUUCUUUAUGUUUUUAUGCUCAGUCAUAUCUGACUCCACAGCCCCAUGGACUGUAGCCACCAGGCUCCUCUGUUCUUGGGAUUCUCUAGGCAAGAAUACUGCAGUGGGUUGCCAUUCAUCCUUCAGGGGAUCUUCUGACCCAGGGAUUAAACCUACAUCUCCUGUGUCUCCUGUAUUGGCAGGUGGAUUCUUUACCACUUGGGCCAUCGGGGAAGCCCAAGUUUAUAAUGCACCCCCCACCGCAGGAAUUUUCCUUGAGGGUUAAAUAAGAUAACACAUCUGAAAUGCUUACCAUGGAAGUAAUAAUCAGUACAUGGUAAUUGUUAUUUAUGUACUAAAUCUCUGUUGGCAGUCUUCUAGGGAUUGUUAGUGGGAUUCUUUCAAAAGUUAUGAGUUAAUAUGUCUACAAGGCCACAAAAAAUGUUGACAGACAUGUAUUUGACACACAAAAAAUUAGGACAGCUUGUGAUUAAGUGUUAUUUGUACAGAAACAGCAGCAGCAAUGAAAUAACAACCUAGGGAAUGAUUGUCAGUGACUCCUGAAACUUAGGUCAAAGGGCAAUUGGGAACUUUAUAAUUGAUAACAUCAGACAGAGAAUCCCUGUACCCACUGAUCAGUGUUAACGUUACAAAAAGAGAAAAAAGUAAAUACGUGCCCCCUAAUUGGAUAAAAUAGGAAAUAUAUAGAACCAUUUGACAUUACUUAUCAAAAACCUGAAUAUGAUUCUAAUUAAGACUUUGUUUCUAACUGCUAGUUUAUAAGAAGCACAGGAAAAAGGGGACCAUGUUUAAAAAUAUCAUGGAGAUGUGAUCAGCCAAAUCCAGAAUGUAGAUAUAUCUGCAGAACAAGUUAUUUUGUUUGUUCAGUAAAUAAAUGGCAAGAAAAACAAAAGAAGGAAGAACUAUUAUUUUUUUCCCCAAAGUCAGUGUCAGAUAAGUGUUUUCAUUUAUUAUAUUUGAAAAAGUUGCCUGAGACUUAAGAGACAUAAGUAUUUUUGUAUCUUGAUUUGGCUAAAUCACCACAAAGUUAUAAAUUAUAAAUAUGAAAUUAAGGCAAUUUGGGAAAUUUAAACUCUGGAUUUAGACACAUUAAAGGACUUUAACAAAGGGAAUGAUCAUGGUAUUAUUUAAAAAAGAGUAUUUCUUAAAUAUACAUAAUAAAAAAUUUUCAGUUUGUAUAAUAUUGUGUUAGUUUCCUAUAACUAUGGUAACAUUACCACUGACUGGGUGGAUCAAACAACAGAAGUUAUUCUCUCAUAGUUCUGGAGACUCGAAGUCUAAAGUCAAGGAGUAGGCAAGGCCAUGGUCCCUGUGCGAUGCUAGGGGAGAAUUCUUUCUUCUUCGCUGGAAGCUGUCCUUGGUCUGUGACUGCAUCUCUCUGUCCCACCUCGCUUGGCUUUCUCCUCUUGGGGUGUCUGUGUCUUGUCUCCUCUCCCUCUUUCCUAUAAGGAUACAUGGGAUUGCAUUUAGGACUUACUUGGAUAAUCCAAGAUGAAUUCCUCCUUAAGACUGAAAGUUAUAGCUGUAUUUUUUCCCCUAUAUAAACUAAUAUUCAGAGCAUCUGGGGAUUGGGAAGUGACAUAUCUUUGUGGGC
ensembl:lncRNA